rnacentral:rRNA from 1 species
AGAGUUUGAUCCUGGCUCAGAUUGAACGCUGGCGGUAUGCUUAACACAUGCAAGUCGAACGGUAACAGCAAGAGCUUGCUCUUGGCUGACGAGUGGCGGACGGGUGAGUAACGCGUAGGAAUCUGCCUUACAGUGGGGGAUAGCCCGGUGAAAACCGGAUUAAUACCGCAUACGCCCUACGGGGGAAAGUUGGGGAUCUUCGGACCUGACACUGUUAGAUGAGCCUGCGUGAGAUUAGCUUGUUGGUGGGGUAAUGGCCUACCAAGGCAACGAUCUCUAGCUGGUCUGAGAGGACGAUCAGCCACACUGGGACUGAGACACGGCCCAGACUCCUACGGGAGGCAGCAGUGGGGAAUAUUGCACAAUGGGCGCAAGCCUGAUGCAGCAAUACCGCGUGUGUGAAGAAGGCCUGAGGGUUGUAAAGCACUUUCAAUUGUGAAGAAAAGCUUUUGGUUAAUAACCUUGAGUCUUGACAUUAACAAUACAAGAAGCACCGGCUAACUCCGUGCCAGCAGCCGCGGUAAUACGGAGGGUGCAAGCGUUAAUCGGAAUUACUGGGCGUAAAGAGUACGUAGGUGGUUCGUUAAGUCAGGUGUGAAAGCCCAGGGCUCAACCUUGGAACUGCAUUUGAAACUGGCAAACUAGAGUAUGGUAGAGGGGGGUAGAAUUCAUAGUGUAGCGGUGAAAUGCGUAGAUAUUAUGAGGAAUACCAGUGGCGAAGGCGGCCCCCUGGACCAAUACUGACACUGAGGUACGAAAGCGUGGGUAGCGAACAGGAUUAGAUACCCUGGUAGUCCACGCCGUAAACGAUGUCAACUAGCCGUUGGGAGCUUGAGCUCUCAGUGGUGCAGCUAACGCGUGAAGUUGACCGCCUGGGGAGUACGGCCGCAAGGCUAAAACUCAAAUGAAUUGACGGGGGCCCGCACAAGCGGUGGAGCAUGUGGUUUAAUUCGAUGCAACGCGAAGAACCUUACCAUCCCUUGACAUCAUCAGAACUUGUUAGAGAUAACUCGGUGCCUUCGGGAACUGAAUGACAGGUGCUGCAUGGCUGUCGUCAGCUCGUGUCGUGAGAUGUUGGGUUAAGUCCCGCAACGAGCGCAGCCCUUAUCCUUAGUUGCCAGCACGUAAUGGUGGGAACUCUAAGGAGACUGCCGGUGAUAAACCGGAGGAAGGUGAGGAUGACGUCAAGUCAUCAUGGCCCUUAUGGGAUGGGCUACACACGUGCUACAAUGGCCAGUACAGAGGGCAGCAAACUCGCGAGAGUAAGCAAAUCCCAGAAAGCUGGUCGUAGUCCGGAUUGGAGUCUGCAACUCGACUCCAUGAAGUUGGAAUCGCUAGUAAUCGCGAAUCAGAAUGUCGCGGUGAAUACGUUCCCGGGCCUUGUACACACCGCCCGUCACACCAUGGGAGUGGGCUGCAAAAGAAGUGGGUAGUUUAACCUUCGGGAGAACGCUCACCACUUUGUGGUUCAUGACUGGGGUGAAGUCGUAACAAGGUA